CACAAGGCCUGGGUCAGCCCUAGGCUAUUAUAGAAGACACUUGCCCAAGGUAUCAUGCAGUAAGAUUGAACCUGGAGCCAUGUAGUUGGGAGCAAAUUUCUUACCACACUGCCAUGUUAGAUCAUAAGUUUAUUUGAUAUAAUUCUCAACCUUG